GAUGAACGCUAGCGGCAGGCCUAAUACAUGCAAGUCGAGGGGUAACAGGAAGUGCUUGCACUUCGCUGACGACCGGCGCACGGGUGAGUAUCGCGUAUACAAUCUGCCUCAUACUAGGGAAUAGCCCGAAGAAAUUUGGAUUAAUGCCCUAUAGUAUCUUUUUAAGGCAUCUUAUUAAGAUUAAAGGUUACGGUAUGAGAUGAGUAUGCGUUCUAUUAGCUAGUAGGUGUGGUAACGGCACACCUAGGCUACGAUAGAUAGGGGCCCUGAGAGGGGGAUCCCCCACACUGGUACUGAGACACGGACCAGACUCCUACGGGAGGCAGCAGUAAGGAAUAUUGGUCAAUGGACGAAAGUCUGAACCAGCCAUGCCGCGUGCAGGAUGACUGCCCUAUGGGUUGUAAACUGCUUUUAUAUAGGAAGAAAAACUUUCUCGUGAGAAAGCUUGACGGUACUAUAAGAAUAAGGAUCGGC
rnacentral:rRNA from 1 species